rnacentral:rRNA from 1 species
UAGUGAGUUUGAUCCUGGCUCAGAACGAACGCUGGCGGCAGGCUUAACACAUGCAAGUCGAACGGUUGUAGCAAUACAGCAGUGGCAGACGGGUGAGUAACACGUGGGAACCUUCCUAGGGUACGGAACAACGUCAGGGAAACUUGAGCUAAUACCGUAUACGUCCGUGAGGAGAAAGAUUUAUCGCCCUUAGACGGGCCCGCGUCGGAUUAGCUAGUUGGUGGGUAAUGGCCUACCAAGGCGACGAUCCGUAGCUGAUCUUAGA